AAUAAACCAAAUUUUCACUUUUUACCUACAAUUUUUCGUCUUAUUCAAUUUUUUUUGUGAUUAAUAUUUUUGUUUUUAUUAGAUGAUAAAUUGUGAAUAGUACUUUACGUGUGACUAAUUUUUUUUUCUAAUUUUUUGAAAUUUUUUUAAAUAAGACGGAUGACCAAACAUUGGACACGGAAACCGAAG
rnacentral:pre_miRNA from 1 species